CUAUGACCGCUCCGUGACGGUGCCCCGGCAACGGGGUGAAAAGGGAAUGCGGUGAGAGGUUUUCCAGAAGCCUCGAUUCCGCGGCUGCCCCCGCAACUGUAAGCGGCGAGUUCCUGCCACGAGCCACCGGGUGAUCCGGGAAGGCGGCAGGCACGAUACCAGCCGCGAGCCAGGAGACCUGCCGUCCAGCGAAGUUUUGUU
rnacentral:ncRNA from 2 species